rnacentral:lncRNA from 1 species
GCGCCAUUUCGCGCCUCCGGGCCGCUCGGCUGCCCCAGGGGCGCCUGGCAAACGUGGAGUCGCUCGGUUUUGGAGGCAUGCUUUCCAAACUUUCUAAUUCACAGGGUCUUUGCACGCAGCCCCUGCCCCACAACACCUUGGCAGUCUCUGAGACUUCUGGGGCUCUUCUCCCGGGCAGCUCCCGUGCCUGUCCGGUCCCGGAGUUGAAUAGUUUUUGAAGUAAUGAGACGGGAACGAGACUUGGGACGAACUGGAGAAAAACAUAACCGCGAAAGGAGGAGGCGGCUAUCACUUACUGGCUGUGUCAGAAGUCGCCGGGAACGCGUUGCUCCCGAGGCCGAAGGGCCCAGAGAGCUCCAGCCAGGCAGCGGGUUCGUCUCCGGCGCAAGAAGGCUGGCUGUCUUUAGUCAAGUCAAGCUCAUUCUGAAGCCUUUCCUGGGAGUCCUGAAGACUAGCAAUAAGUCCUUCUGCAGAGCCAAGACCUUGUUCACUUUUCCUUACCAUAUCUUGGAGGUGGCCAAUCUUGUGACGACACAUCAAGAAGGUGACCACCUGCAAGCCAGGAACAGAGCGCUCACUGUGGAACUGAAUUGGCUGCUACCUUGAUCUUGGACUUCCCAGCUCCCAGACUAGAUGAGCUCUCACUACGUUGCCCAGACUGGUGUUGAACUCCUGGCCUCAAGCAAUCCUCUCUCAACCUAUGGGCCACCACACCUAAACUACUUUUCAACUAAAGUGAGGAGACUGAGUAAUUUAUGAAGAAGUGUGGCUGCAGAGAAGUUUGUUCAGCAUGAAAUAAGAGCUCUACAAAGGACUUAUAAAAACGUGAUGAGAGAGGAUGGGAAGGGCUUGAGGAAGGGAGGGAUAGGGAAAGAUUUGUUAAAGGAUACAAAAGUACCCUGAUCUGAUCACUAAACACUAUAUGUAUCAAAACAUCAUACGUACCCCAUCAAUAUCUACAAUUAUUUGUCAAUUGAAACAAAAGAAAAAAAUAGGGGCAAGGCAUAGUGGCUCACACCUGUAAUCUCAACACUUUGGGAGCCUGCAUUUGGACCUGGGAUCCAGGCAGACAGAGGUAUGAGGCAAGAUGGACUGAACUGCUUGAGGCUUCCAAGACACACUCUAGUCUUACCAUUUUGAACACAGCCAACUAGAUUUUAC